CAGGUGGGUGAGGCGAGUAGCCUCAGGUGAACGAGUGAGACGUGGUCAAGGAACUCGGCAUACUGAUCCCGUAACUUCGGAAGAAGGGAUGCCAGAGGGGGUCACGGACUUCGCGUCCGGAGCUCCACUUUGGUCGCAGCGAAUCGGCCCAAGCGACUGUUUAGCAAAAACACAGGUGUGUGCCAAGCCGCACAAGGCGCCGUAUACACACUGACGCCUGCCCGGUGCCGGAAGGUUAAGGGGAGAGGUCAACCGCAAGGUGAAGCCUUGAGCCGAAGCCCCGGUAAACGGCGGCCGUAACGAUAACGGUCCUAAGGUAGCGAAAUUCCUUGUCGGGUAAGUUCCGACCUGCACGAAUGGCGUAACGACUUGGGCACUGUCUCGACCACGCGCUCGGCGAAAUUGCAGUCUCGGUGAGGAUUCCGAGUCCCCGCGACAGGACAAAAAGACCCCAUGCACCUUUACUGCAGCUUGUCAUUGGUCGUUGCACUUCACUGUGUAGCAUAGGUGGGACCCGUUGAGACCCCGGCGCUAGCUGGGGUGGAGGGGCCAGUGAAAUACCACCCUGUGUUGUGCGACGCCCUCACCACGUCAGGAAAACCCUGGCUGGGACCGUGGCAGGUGGGCAGUUUGACUGGGGCGGUCGCCUCCGAAAGAGUAACGGAGGCGCGCGAAGGUAGGCUCAGCGCGGUCGGUACUCGCGCUUGAAGAGUGCAAGAGCAUAAGCCUGCCUGACGGCGAGACCGACGGGUCGAGCCGCCACGAAAGUGGGUUCUAGUGAUCCGGUAGCCCCGGGUGGAAGGGCUAUCGCGCAACGGAUAAAAGGUACGCUGGGGAUAACAGGCUUAUCGCAUCCGAGAGUUCACAUCGACGAUGCGGUUUGGCACCUCGAUGUCGGCUUAUCACAUCCUGGGGCUGGAGAAGGUCCCAAGGGUCCGGCUGUUCGCCGGUUAAAGUGGUACAUGAGCUGGGUUCAGAACGUCGUGAGACAGUUCGGUCUGUAUCCGUCGUGGGCGUCGGAAAGUUGAGGGGAGCGGACUCUAGUACGAGAGGACCGAGUCGGACGAUCCGCUCGUGUCCCGGUUGUCCCGCCAGGGGCAACGCCGGGUAGCGAUGAUCGGCUGUGAUAACCGCUGAAUGCAUCUAAGUGGGAAGCACGCCCCAAGAUGAACUUUCCCGAGGCCAUGAGCCUCCUAAAGGGCCGUCAGAGACUAUGACGUCGAUAGGCCGCCUGUGGAAGGGGCGCAAACCCCUCCAAGCAUAGCGGUCCUAAUCGCCCGUGCGGCUUGACUAC
rnacentral:rRNA from 1 species